CACAUUCAUGCCUCCAUCUCUCUCACACUCAUGCCUCCAUCACUUUCUCUCUCUCUCUCACACAGCCUCUAUCACUCCCUCUCACACACACCGGCCUGCAUCAAACAUCAGUCCACAUUUGUCGUUGGCCUCCACGACUACUCCUCACGCCGGCCUUUUGCGUCUCUCAUGACUGUACAUGCCUUCCUGGAGCAGUAGGGACGCUGGAAACGACAUUUUAAUCCAGACUUAGGAUGAGCGUUGCCUAAAUUUAGGUAAAUUCCUUCGUUAAGGCAUAGAAAAUAGUGUUUUUGCUAUUUAUAGUAAUAUUUGUUUUUCCUUAAUAACUUUUAGUUUAAAAGUCAGAAUAAGGUCCCGUUUGUUUUGGGAUGUCUCUUCGAGAUAGUAUUUUCAAUUUUUGCAAUUAUCUAAAUUUUGCUAUUUUUGGCAAAAAUCACUAUUUUGCCACCUAA